GAUGAAGAACGUAGCGAAAUGCGAUAAGUAAUGUGAAUUGCAGAGUUCAGUGAAUCAUCGAAUCUUUGAACGCACAUUGCGCCCGGCAGUAUUCUGACGGGCAUGCCUGUUCGAGCGUCAUUACAACCCUCAGGCCCCCGGGCCUGGCGUUGGGGAUCGGCAGAAGCCCCCUGUGGGCACACGCCGUCCCUCAAAUACAGUGGCGGUCCCGCCGCAGCUUCCAUUGCGUAGUAGCUAACACCUCGCAACUGGAGAGCGGCGCGGCCAUGCCGUAAAACACCCAACUUCUGAAUGUUGACCUCGAAUCAGGUAGGAAUACCCGCUGAACUUAAGCAUAUCAAUAAGCGGAGGA
rnacentral:misc_RNA from 1 species